rnacentral:rRNA from 1 species
UACAGAGGGUGCGAGCGUUAAUCGGAAUUACUGGGCGUAAAGCGCACGUAGGUGGCGACGUAAGUCGGGUGUGAAAGCCCCGGGCUCAACCUGGGAAUUGCAUUCGAAACUGCAGAGCUGGAGUCCUGGAGAGGAAGGCGGAAUUCUCGGUGUAGAGGUGAAAUUCGUAGAUAUAGGGAGGAACACCGGUGGCGAAGGCGGCGACCUGGGUCGACACUGACGCUGAGGCGCGAAAGCGUGGGGAGCAAACAGG